UCAUGUUUAAUUUAACUUGCUGUUCAAUUAUGUUAAACAUGUGGAACUAAUUUCUUUUUAGUUGAGGCAAAUUUGAAGCCAUGGACAUAUGUUGGUUAUGAUUUGUUUUACUCCAGUUAUGAAUUCAUGAACUUUAGAUGUGGUUUACUUUUCUAUUUUGAUUAAGAACUUGUUUAUGUAUGUGGGUUGAGGGUCGACACUUAAUUUGCAUGCCUAAACUUGAUGCUAGGAUAUAAGGGAAUUUCACCUAAUCGUUAUGAACUUAUAUUCAUGAGUAGUAAAGAUCGCUAGU
rnacentral:lncRNA from 1 species